AUGCUAGCUAGCUAUAUCAUCAUUCGUACAAAUCGGGGACCAACGUUUUGUGAAUGAUAAUGUGUGUGAAAGCAGUGGUCCAAGCUAUAGCAGCUAUAGUUGGUCACUCCAAUUCUUUGUUGCAAAUGCAUACCAGUUGGCUAACACCCAAACAAUCAUAGUGUGUAGUAAUGUGAAAACACGUAGGGAAGGGGGCAAAAUUAUGUAAGCUUUGAGGUCGAAUCGAAAGGACUUUCUAGAAAUCAGUACAUUGUGUGUCACAAUAUGAGAGGGCCGGGCAUGCCCUCUCUAGCUUGUUACAUCAGUACGUACUACUACUGCUAGUUCAGGAUGGACCAUAUAGCUCUGAGCCAUUGCUAUAGGUUGCAACCUUUCGCUCUCCAAUAAUACAUUUGAAAGAUGAAGGAUCAAUUAAUAGUCGCGGUCGACUCUUUUAAAAAUCGAUCAAAAGCCUAGCCUCCCUUAUAUGAACUUCAUCCUUGAUCCCUAGGGGAGUUGGCUAAGUAGUUAUUUAUAGCUAGUUAAACACU
rnacentral:lncRNA from 1 species